UAUAUAAAGAAAAAAAAAUGAUGAAGAGACCAGCAUAUUUCAAAACUGCAACAACUUCACUAAAACAGACAUGUAAAAACUUGAAAACGAAUUUAAAACAACAGCAAAAGAGAAUUUAUCUCUUUCAACUUCUUAUAGCAGGUCAUCUCCAACAGUGUGGCACACGACAGCGAAUUACCAGGGUAUCACCUUUUGUUUGGUUACCGGGCAAAUCACUUACCUCAGCUUCGACAUGGGUAAAUUUCAUCCUCCGAUAUUCUUCUUGUGCCUCUUUCGAAUGGAA
rnacentral:misc_RNA from 1 species